rnacentral:rRNA from 1 species
CAAUAGCGUAUAUUAAAGUUGUUGCAGUUAAAAAGCUCGUAGUUGGAUUUCUGGAUGGAGCGACCGGUCGGGCAUUAAUUUGUCUGCACUGGAGUCGGUUCCGUCCAUCCUCUUGGAAAGUGCGUCGGGCAUCAAGUUGUUUGGCGUAUGAUCCAAGUCGUUUACUGUGAAAAAAUUAGAGUGUUUAAAGCAGGCCUUCGCCUUGAAUACAUUAGCAUGGAAUAAUAAGAUAGGACUUUGGUCUAUUUUGUUGGUUUGCAGACCGAAGUAAUGAUUAAUAGGGAUAGUUGGGGGUAUUUAUAUUCCGAUGUCAGAGGUGAAAUUCUUAGAUUUUCGGAAGAUAAACUUAUGCGAAAGCAUUUACCAAGGAUGUUUUCAUUAA